GACGAACGCUGGCGGCGUGCUUAACACAUGCAAGUCGAGCGGUAAGGCCCUUUCGGGGGUACACGAGCGGCGAACGGGUGAGUAACACGUGGGUGACCUGCCCUUAGCUCUGGGAUAAGCCUGGGAAACUGGGUCUAAUACCGGAUAUGACUCCAUGACGCAUGUUGUGGGGUGGAAAGCCUUGUGCGGCUAGGGAUGGGCCCGCGGCCUAUCAGCUGUUGGUGGGGUGAUGGCCUACCAAGGCGACGACGGGUAGCCGGCCUGAGAGGGCGACCGGCCACACUGGGACUGAGACACGGCCCAGACUCCUACGGGAGGGCAGCAGUGGGGAAUCUUGCGCAAUGGGCGAAAGCCUGACGCAGCGACGCCGCGUGAGGGAUGACGGCCU
rnacentral:rRNA from 1 species